rnacentral:misc_RNA from 1 species
GAUCAGUACUCCCUGGAAUAGAAGACACCGAAAGUGGAACUCAGGAAAGUGACGAACCACAAAAGAAGAAGAAAAAAACCAAAUAGAAACGGGUCCUAAAAUUCCUACAUAGCAAAUAUAUAUAUACAUCCCGUAACUGCUGUUUUAUAAGCUUAUUUCAUAUCAAGGUAUAACUGAUCAUUUUAUGGUUAAUGAAUAAGAGUUGGUAGAAUUAAAUUCACUGGUCACUGCCAUAUGAUAAUGAUUUUGUAUAUGUUUACCUUUUGUUUUUAUUUUGAUUUGUUAUUUGAUCUUAGUUAGUCGUUUAAUGUCAAUUGUUAUUGAAGAAUAUAAUUCUUAUUUUUGGCAUACCAAUGUUGUGUGUAAAAUGCUAUAUGAAUAUGUGUUAAUAAUAUCCUCUUAGUUGAAACAGUAUUUCGUCUGUGAAAGAAUUCAAGACAGAAAAGCGUUGAUUAAAUCAGCUUAAUGCAUUUACUAAUCAUUUUAAAGAGCAAACAUGGUAUUUUGAAGCAUCGACGAAUUCUCUUUCUUAUAACGGUAGAAUUCUACUGCUUUGUGGUUUACACGUGUAUAAAGACAUCGACAUGGACACGUAUAUACCUCAUUUUGAUUGUCUCUCACGGUCGAUAAUCAAACUAAAGCUCUGGUGUAUUUUUAUAUAAAUAUUCAGGAUUGCCAUACAGAAAAACAUUUCAUUUUUAAACAUGUAUAUGUACAUUCAUUUUACAAUGUUUGAUGAAUAUAUUUUUAUAUUGUUACAUUAUAAUCAUAUAUUUUAUAUCCAGUUGAUUUUAAAUGCAUGAUUUAUUUUUU